UCGAAUCCUGCACGGGCAGAACGACCUGUGAACAAGUA
rnacentral:rRNA from 1 species